UACGGAGGGUGCAAGCGUUGUUCGGAAUGACUGGGCGUAAAGCGCACGUAGGCGGGUCCGUAAGUCGGAUGUGAAAUCCCCAGGCUUAACCUGGGAACUGCACCCGAAACUAUGGAUCUUGAAUGCUUGAGAGGUUGGUGGAAUUCCAGGUGUAGGAGUGAAAUCCGUAGAUAUCUGGAGGAACACCGGUGGCGAAGGCGGCAUCCUGGACCGGUAUUGACGCUGAGGCGCGAAAGCUAGGGGAGCAAACGGG
rnacentral:rRNA from 1 species